AAAUCGAGGCAGGGCAUCCCCGAGACGGGGGCCGUCCGGCAGCAUGCGCACCGCCGCACCCCUACGCAUUUGUCUCUCGUCCGAAGGACGCCGCAGCCGGUUGGGUAGUUUGCAAGCGCGACGGCCUGAGGGGCGGACACCGGCAGGUGGCCGGUGGCGGGGCUCGUUCUCCGUCGCCGGUUGUUAGCCUGUCCGCCAGUGGCCCGUCACCCGACCGAGGUAUCGCGAGGCCCCGAUGGGGCCUCUUCGUCUCCUCCCUCGAGAAGCGGGACGAUGGCGUCGCAGGCGCGUUCCGCCGUGUGUCGCACGUCACGAGGCGUGGACUUGGGAACGGAAGGUGGCGUUGGUGAUGCAGGACCCGCGGGAGAAGUGGAGGCUGGCGGCGAGUAGGUCGGUCACCCACCCGACCCGUCUUGAAACACGGACCAAGGAGUCUAACAUGUGCGCGAGUCAAUGGGUCUUGAAUAGGCCCAGAGGCGCAAUGAAAGCAAAGGAGCGACCGAUAAGUCGAUCCGAGUUGGGAUCCGUUUCCCUUGAACGGGGGCGGCGCACCAACGACCCGUCCUAUCCGACUCGUUCGGUUGGGCGGAGUGUGAGCGUACACGUUGGGACCCGAAAGAUGGUGAACUAUGCCCGGGCAGGAUGAGGCCAGAGG
rnacentral:rRNA from 1 species